GACGGGGACUAGGAGCGCUCUGCCGACGUCAGCUUUUGUCUCCAGUAUUUUCGGGGGCUGGUGGACGCGUGGGCGAUAGGGUGCUGUCCUUGGGGUGCUGUGUAUAUGGGAUGAUGACGCUUAUCAGCAUUAUCUAGUCCUUUCCACCCCGAAAUUCGCCCCGAUUAAAGACUGUGUUGCAUUAUCAGGUAAUGAGAUGUGAGGGAGGGUCUUUGAAAGUGGAAAACCUGGGCGUCGAGGCCACUGUGCCAUCUUGGGCCUCAGUUUCCUUAUCUGUGAAAUGAGGGUGAAUGUAAAGCUGCUAUGUAAAAUGUAAAGCUCUACAUAAACCACUCUCCGCAUUACUUUGGAUAUAUGAGAAUAUUAACGUUUGACGUCUACGAGACUAGAUCCCAUUCGAGCAUCACCUCCCAUAACCUUACAGACUAACCCCUCUUUUAAAUCUCAGUGGUUCGUAAUCUUACAGACUAACCCCUCUUUUAUGUCUCAGUGGUUCUUGCAGCUGGCUUUUGUUUCAUUAGUUCUCAAUUUCUGUCACUGGUGUUUGUACUUUAUUAAGGAACUCUUAAUGGAAUAGGCUUUUGGGUUUUUCUAGUUUGCAGGAUGAUGAAAAACAUGGCUGCUGUAUUUGUUGGCUUUCCUGAGUUUAUUCAUAUAGUAACAGGUAACUCCAAACCUUCAGUGGUUUACAGCCACAGAAGUUUAUUUCUCACUCACGUGAUCUGUGAGCUGGGAGAUGGCUGUGGCUCUGUGCUCCAUGUAUUUUCUUCAUUCUAGGAUCCAGGCUUUCGUGAGUAAAUACAGAAAGAUUUUUGUAAUAUAUCAACUGUUUAAAGUUUGAGUGAAACGUUUAAAACAGUACAGAACUUUUAUGAAUACCCUGUCCAUUAGUAGACACUACUCAGAACCUGGCACAUGGUAAAUAUUCAAUGAAUAUAUGUUGAGUGAAUGAAAAAAGCCCAUCCUCUCUGAUUUUGCCAAUGGCUCAGGACCAUCGUCUAGAAAAGUCUUACAGCAGGUGGCUUGCCUCAGUUAUUUCAGGGCAUCCAGAAAGACACAUUAACCAAAGACUGCUGAAUGCUUUGGGAGAGAAUUCUGGUGACUGAAAAUGUGUGUGAAGAGAGUAAACUUUUCUCAGGAUGUCUGCACUCGGGGAAUUACCCUUGGCAGCAAGGGCUUCUCUCACUGUGGGUUGCUGUGCUGGGUCCUGCCAGCUCCAUUCAUAACCUCAAGAGACCAGGGUCCUCUGCCCAAUCUUGCAUGGCAAAAGAAAGUUAACGUGAGGAGGCCGGGCGUGGUGGCUCAUGCCUGUAAUCCCAGCACUUUGGGAGGCCGAGGCGGGUGGAUCACCUGAGGUCAGGAGUUGGAGACCCACCUGGCCAACAUGUCGAAACCCCAUCUCUGUCACCUGUAGUCCCAGCUACUCGGGAGGCUGAGGUGGGAGAAUCGCUUGAACCAGGGAGGCAGAGGUUGCAGUGAGCUGAGAUCGAACCACUGCCCUCCAGCCUGGGCUACAGAGUGAGACUCCGUCUCAAAAAAAAAAAAAAAAAAAAAAAAAAAAAAAAAAAAAAAGCUUAUGGGAGGAGUUGUCGGUGAGGACACUGAACCUAAAAAUGGUGAAGCAGUUGCAGCAAACUGGCUUUUAUCCCAUCAGUGUCUCUCUCUCAACAUCCUGCAUCUGAGUCUGGAAGACAAACUUUUUCUGCUUGUGAACCUGGCCCACCAGAGCUUUUAGCAAUCUGGAAACAGAACUGGGAACUUCCUUGUAAACUUCCUGAAGAUUGAUAAAUGACAUCUAUAAAAAAAAAAACAAUUUGUCUUUGUUCAUUGCUCUGGUGCUGGUUUAUGUAGAAAAUCCUGUGGAACCUACAAAAAACCUAGUACAGCUAAUAGGUGAGAUUCGCAAGGUUGCAA
rnacentral:lncRNA from 1 species